rnacentral:rRNA from 1 species
AGUGAACGCUGGCGGUAGGCCUAACACAUGCAAGUCGAACGGCAGCACAGUAAGAGCUUGCUCUUACGGGUGGCGAGUGGCGGACGGGUGAGGAAUACAUCGGAAUCUACUUUUUCGUGGGUGAUAACGUAGGGAAACAUACGCUAAUACCGCAUACGACCUACGGGUGAAAGCAGGGGAUCUUCGGACCUUGCGCGAUUGAAUGAGCCGAUGUCGGAUUAGCUAGUUGGCGGGGUAAAGGCCCACCAAGGCGACGAUCCGUAGCUGGUCUGAGAGGAUGUUCAGCCACACUAGAACCGAGACACCGUCCCGACUCCCACGGGAGGCAGCCGUCGGGAAUAUUCGACAAUGGCCGCCAGCUUGACCCACCCCUCCCGCGCCAGUGAAGAACGCCCUCGGGUUGUAAAGCCCUUUUCUUGGGAAAGAAAAGCAGCCGGUUACUACCCCGCUGUUCUGACGGUACCCAAAGAAUAAGCACCGGCUAACUUCGUG